UUGAACGCUGGCGGCAUGCUUUACACAUGCAAGUCGAACGGUAACAGGUUAAGCUGACGAGUGGCGAACGGGUGAGUAACGCGUUGGUGACCUGCCCCGAAGAGAGGGAUAGCAGUUCGAAAGGACUGAUAAUACCUCAUGUGGUUGUCGGUUUUAGAAUCUGAUAACUAAACGGAUUUAUUCGCUUCGGGAGGGGCCUGCGUCCCAUCAGCUAGUUGGUAGGGUAAUGGCCUACCAAGGCUAUGACGGGUAGGGGACCUGAGAGGGUGGCCCCCCACAAUGGAACUGAAACACGGUCCAUACACCUACGGGUGGCAGCAGUAGGGAAUAUUGGUAAUGUGCGAAAGCGCGAACCAGCAACGCCGCGUGCACGAUGAAGGCCUUCGGGUCGUAAAGUGCUUUUAGAGAGGAUGAGGAAGGACAGUACUCUCUGAAUAAGCCUCGGCUAACUACGU
rnacentral:rRNA from 1 species